rnacentral:rRNA from 1 species
AUCUUGCGCAAUGGGCGAAAGCCUGACGCAGCAACGCCGCGUGGGGGACGAAGGCCUUCGGGUUGUAAACCCCUUUCAGCAGGGACGAAACUGACGGUACCUGCAGAAGAAGCCCCGGCCAACUACGUGCCAGCAGCCGCGGUAACACGUAGGGGGCGAGCGUUGUCCGGAUUUAUUGGGCGUAAAGAGCUCGUAGGCGGUUCGGUAAGUCAGAUGUGAAAGUCAAGGGCUCAACCCUGGGAAGCCAUCUGAUACUGCCGUGACUAGAGUCCGGUAGGGGAGCGUGGAAUUCCUGGUGUAGCGGUGAAAUGCGCAGAUAUCAGGAGGAACACCAGCGGCGAAGGCGGCGCUCUGGGCCGGUACUGACGCUGAGGAGCGAAAGCAUGGGGAGCGAACAGG